AGUGAACCCAGGUGCAGAAGUCUGGCUGCUCUUCGCGGGAUGUAUACACCCAGAAGAGGAAUUGCUGGAUCAUAGGGGAAAUAGUAGCCAAGAGAGAGGACGGCUCUCUUUCAAUUCCAAGAGUCCACGCCAGAAAGAGCUGGAGGAAUUCCGUCUGUGGACUUGGGAGUUGGGGACACUUGCAUUGGGACCCCGGCCCUCUCCCCCAACAGCAACACUGGAUUGAACUCUCAAGAUGGAAGAAAUUUGAAAACAAUAUUAAAAAA